rnacentral:rRNA from 1 species
UACGGAGGGGGCUAGCGUUAUUCGGAAUUACUGGGCGUAAAGCGCACGUAGGCGGACUGGAAAGUUAGAGGUGAAAGCCCGGGGCUCAACUCCGGAACUGCCUUUAAGACUGCAUCGCUUGAAUCCGGGAGAGGUGAGUGGAAUUCCGAGUGUAGAGGUGAAAUUCGUAGAUAUUCGGAAGAACACCAGUGGCGAAGGCGGCUCACUGGACCGGUAUUGACGCUGAGGUGCGAAAGCGUGGGGAGCAAACAGG